UACGUAGGGUGCGAGCGUUGUCCGGAAUUACUGGGCGUAAAGAGCUCGUAGGUGGUUUGUCGCGUUGUUCGUGAAAUGCCACAGCUUAACUGUGGGCGUGCGGGCGAUACGGGCAGACUGGAGUACUGCAGGGGAGACUGGAAUUCCUGGUGUAGCGGUGGAAUGCGCAGAUAUCAGGAGGAACACCGGUGGCGAAGGCGAGUCCCUGGACAAUACCUGACACUGAGGCACGAAAGCUAGGGGAGCAAACAGG
rnacentral:rRNA from 1 species